UACAGAGGGUGCGAGCGUUAAUCGGAUUUACUGGGCGUAAAGCGUGUGUAGGUGGCUUCCUAAGUCGGUUGUGAAAUCCCUGGGCUCAACCUGGGAAUUGCAGUCGAUACUGGGAAGCUCGAGUUCGGUAGAGGACGGCGGAAUUCCCGGUGUAGCGGUGAAAUGCUUAGAUAUGACAUAGAACACCAAUUGCGAAGGCAGCUCGCUACACAUAUAUUGACUCUGAGGCACGAAAGCGUGGGGAUCAAACAGG
rnacentral:rRNA from 1 species